CAAAGACAAAUAUCCAGCCCAAAGACCAAAAUGUACAUAAUUUGAAUAUUGUUGGGUACCCAACCCACUUUUCUAAUUUCCUUAGCAAUAUAAGUGUCCUUAUAAACAUUUGUUGCCUUUCUCUAUUGUUCCUGUCCCAUCUCCACCUUGCUACCUUGUUGCUACCGCAUGUUUGCCCAGCUGAUCUUGCUUUUUUUGUGGGUGAUUAAUGUUGUUCCCAUCUUUAAGAUGUUGUUUUUCUUCACUGAAGUGUUAUCAAGACACCAAGGUACUUGUUGACUAUCUUUCCUCCGUCGUCUCUUUUUUCUUCUAAUUUUUGCAUCCAUUUCAAGUGGUUGGGUUGUCACUAUCGUGAAAUUGAAGGCAACAAUUUUUGGAGUUUGCAGUACCACAGGUAGUGAAGUAAUCAUUGCUGAUUUGAGCUUGUAACUGACUGCCUGAGUUGAUGGACCAAAUCAACGCAAAUCUCCUUUGUUUUUGGUGAUUUCCUUUGAGAACUAUCAAAGAUUAGCUUAUCUGAUUUAACAUCUUUAACCUUCCUUAGUACAGGACUAAAAAUGUUGUAAUUAUCUAUGCUGCUCAAAAUCUGCAUCAUGAAUGUGUUGUAUUGGCCAAACUCUCUGUACAUUCGGCUUUAUCCUUGUAGUUCUAAUUCUCA